GCCGCGUGAGUGAAGAAGGUUUUCGGAUCGUAAAGCUCUGUUGUAAGUCAAGAACGUGUGUGAGAGUGGAAAGUUCACACAGUGACGGUAGCUUACCAGAAAGGGACGGCUAACUACGUGCCAGCAGCCGCGGUAAUACGUAGGUCCCGAGCGUUGUCCGGAUUUAUUGGGCGUAAAGGGAGCGCAGGCGGUCAGGAAAGUCUGGAGUAAAAGGCUAUGGCUCAACCAUAGUGUGCUCUGGAAACUGUCUGACUUGAGUGCAGAAGGGGAGAGUGGAAUUCCAUGUGUAGCGGUGAAAUGCGUAGAUAUAUGGAGGAACACCAGUGGCGAAAGCGGCUCUCUGGUCUGUCACUGACGCUGAGGCUCGAAAGCGUGGGUAGCGAACAGGAUUAGAUACCCUGGUAGUCCACGCCGUAAACGAUGAGUGCUAGGUGUUAGGCCCUUUCCGGGGCUUAGUGCCGGAGCUAACGCAAUAAGCACUCCGCCUGGGGAGUACGACCGCAAGGUUGAAACUCAAAGGAAUUGACGGGGGCCCGCACAAGCGGUGGAGCAUGUGGUUUAAUUCGAAGCAACGCGAAGAACCUUACCAGGUCUUGACAUCCCGAUGCUAUUCUUAGAGAUAGGAAGUUACUUCGGUACAUCGGAGACAGGUGGUGCAUGGUUGUCGUCAGCUCGUGUCGUG
rnacentral:rRNA from 1 species